rnacentral:rRNA from 1 species
UACGUAGGGUGCGAGCGUUGUCCGGAAUUACUGGGCGUAAAGAGCUCGUAGGUGGUUUGUCGCGUUGUUCGUGAAAUCUCACGGCUUAACUGUGAGCGUGCGGGCGAUACGGGCAGACUUGAGUACUGCAGGGGAGACUGGAAUUCCUGGUGUAGCGGUGGAAUGCGCAGAUAUCAGGAGGAACACCGGUGGCGAAGGCGGGUCUCUGGGCAACAACUGACGCUGAGGAGCGAAAGCGUGGGGAGCGAACAGG